rnacentral:sRNA from 2 species
CACUAGCCCCGAUUGCAGUGAAAAUCCUUUUUCUUUUUUCUUUAAAAAUAAAAAGAUUGCAACGAAAAGUGGGAAAUAGC